rnacentral:rRNA from 1 species
GACGUAGGGCGCGAGCGUUGUCCGGAUUUAUUGGGCGUAAAGAGCUCGUAGGCGGCUCGGUAAGUCGGGUGUGAAACCUCCAGGCUCAACCUGGAGACGCCACCUGAUACUGCUGUGGCUAGAGUCCGGUAGGGGAGUGUGGAAUUCCUAGUGUAGAGGUGAAAUUCGUAGAUAUUAGGAAGAACACCGGUGGCGAAGGCGGCCCACUGGUCCGGUACUGACGCUGAGGUGCGAAAGCGUGGGGAGCAAACAGGAAUAGAAC